UUCCAAAGGUGGUUUCUACAGAUUGGUGU
rnacentral:piRNA from 1 species